rnacentral:rRNA from 1 species
GUGUCAGCCGCCGCGGUAAGACGAAGGUGGCAAGCGUUGUUCGGUAUCACUGGGCUUAAAGCGUGUGUAGGCGGAAAAGUAAGCGUCUUGUGAAAUCCCCCGGCUUAACCGGGGAACUGCGUGACGAACUGCUUUUCUUGAGGCAAGUAGGGGUGCAUGGAACUCUUGGUGGAGCGGUGGAAUGCGUAGAUAUCAAGAGGAACGCCAGUGGUGAAAACGGUGCACUGGGCUUGUUCUGACGCUGAGACACGAAAGCGUGGGGAGCGAACGGGAUUAGAUACCCCGGUAGUCCACGCCGUAAACGAUGCCUACUAGGUUGUGGGAGUUCUGACACUUGCACAGCCGAAGCAAAAGUGUUAAGUAGGCCGCCUGGGGAGUACGGUCGCAAGGCUAAAACUCAAAGGAAUUGACGGGG